rnacentral:rRNA from 1 species
GACGAACGCUGGCGGCGUGCUUAACACAUGCAAGUCGAACGAAGUGGCGAACGGGUGAGUAACGCGUAAUCAACCUGCCCUUCAGAGGGGGACAACAGUUGGAAACGACUGCUAAUACCGCAUACUGAAGGAGGGGAUUGCGUUGGAUUAGCUAGUUGGAGGGGUAACGGCCCACCAAGGCGAGGAUCAGUAGCCGGGCUGGGAGGGAGAACGGCCAAAUUGGGAAUUGGACAAGGCCCAGACUCCUACGGGAGGGAGCAGGGGGGAAUCUUACGAAAUGGACGAAAGUCUGACGGAGCAACGCCGCGUGAGUGAUGACGGCCUUCGGGUUGUAAAGCUCUGUUAAUCGGGACGCGGUACCGGAAUAGAAAGCCACGGCUAACUACGUGCCAGCAGCCGCGGUAAUUC